rnacentral:rRNA from 1 species
ACGCUCGACACCUACGGGAGGGAGCAGUGGGGAAUAUUGGGCAAUGGGCGCAAGCCUGACCCAGCAACGCCGCGUGAAGGAAGAAGGCUUUCGGGUUGUAAACUUCUUUUAUCAGGGACGAAAUAAAUGACGGUACCUGUUGAAUAAGCCACGGCUAACUACGUGCUAGCAGCCGCGGUAAUCUGAGCGGGCUGGCAAGGC